UUCCUCGCCCUCUGCAGUCACAACAAGCUUAUUGAUAUGCUUGAUACAUUGUGUGGGGAUUAACUGAAAAGCCACCCCGGGAGUUUUAUAAACUGUCAAGCAUGUUCUUGAUGACACCAACGUUUGAAGCACACGACCAAACAUUAGGUGUUCUCUUCCUCUGCAAGAUGUACUUGUAAAUGGAAAGUUGUCACCUGCCUUACGGAAGCCUUCUGUGGGAAUGAGAAUUGCAUCCAACACAGCUGAUUUGAUCUCAAAAGAUGACCUCAUUUUAAACGCUAGUUUGCUAUUAUUAAUUCUGCCUUGGUCUACCCAAGGGAAGAUUUCCAGUCAUUACCUGGAUGUUUCAGGUCCCAGUUCCUAACUGACUUCCUCAUCACACUGAUGAUUUCAUUAGGUCACUUAUGAGGAAAAUCGAUUUACCUGCAUCACUGUCUCCUUGUUCUCCUUCCCUUUCCAUAUCAAGAUAUAAUCUUUUCCUUCCCAACUCAGGCUCUCUUGUGCUACUUCAGACUUCAGGAAUGAAAUGUAGAAAAGAAAGUCCUUGCUGCCUCUCUCUCUUCCAAGACUUUUUUUUUUUUUUCUAAAGCUUUCCUUCCCCACCAAAUAAGAAUUAAAAGUGGUAUUUCUUUUGACAGCUGGUAACUAAUCCUACUUUAGCAGGAAGGAGAACAGGAAGCCAGCAAAAGAAUUUUCCAUUCCUGUCUCUUUUAAUUUCUUUUUUCCACAUCAGGUACUUUUCAAAAUCGAGACAUUUCCAGUGAGUCUGUAGGUCUUCUUGUUUUGUCUACCAGGGUCACAUGUUGGUUAACUUCUCCUGAGCUGAUGAGAAACCUGACUGAGCCUGUGUUUGUAUCAGGAGGAGGGAGAACUUGAGAACUUUGGAAUCUCCAAAGGGACCUUAGCUGAAAUGCGAUCCUCCUGCGUGUGCAAACAGCCUUUUUCCUUUUGUGAAAACCAAGUUCACACAGCGAGUCCAUCAGACCACAAAUCAAAUUGUCUCUGAUGGUAACGAGAGCUAUAACUUUACUCCCUGCUCAAAAGUCUUUCCCCUGCCUGCCUGACUUGCUCUUUCCACCUUCCCCCCUUCCCACCCUCUCUCCAUUUCUUCAUUUUCUUUCUGUUUAAUUACUCAAGGGCUCUGUGCCUAUCACUGUGCUCCCAACUCUCCAAAACGCAUAUGUUAAGAUGCAGAGGAAGGGGUCAGAGGAACCCACUUACAUCUGUUUGUCCAAGGAUCAAUCCACUCCAGUAUUUUUAUAAGACAAUGUAACAUAUGUCAAAGAAUAAUGUUUUUUGCAUUAUAGUUUCCUAGAGUUGAUUUACAAAAUAUCAGUUAUGUAUGUAAGUAGAUGACAUUUCAAAUGAAACAAUAUCUCCAAUGACAUCUACUACAAUAUUUUAUAUUCUGUAUAAGUAACUAAGGCAGCACUCUAAAAUUAAAGCCAACUUUUUCUGAAAUGUGACCCUGGCCCCUAUCUGGCCCGCAUGAGAAUGAGAAGGAACAAGGAAUGAUGGGUACUGAGAGUAGAAGAGAAUUGUAACAGCUCAUAAAGCUAAGGCAUGUGACAGAAAAGUCAAAGAUAAUUGUUUUCAUUAUCUAACUAUGCAGAGAGAACUAUUCUGAAGAUUCUUCUUUUUUUUAUGAGAAGAGAAUUCUUCAGUGAUAUGAACUCUGCAGAAGCAGAUCAGUAUAGGCACAAGACCUUUAAAGAAAAAGUCUGAAAAUCAGAUUCUACUUCUGGACUGGUCACUGAUUAGAGCUGUGUGAGUCUUGUCAACACAUUUACACCUUUGGAUCUGAGUUUUCCAGUGUACAAAAUGGAAGAGUUGGAUGUCUGCUAUUAUCUCCUAUAAAUGCACAAUUUUAUUAUUGUUCUUGCCCAUAUGAUUAAAAAGUUAAUUUUCAUAGGUAAGGAUAAAGACUGUGUCCCCCCAACCCCUGCCUUAUGUACUGCUUACUCAAUGCUUAGUUUGUAAUACAUGCUCAGUAAAUAUUUCUUUAAGGGAUGAAUAAAGCUGGAGAAGAUUGCAUGUUUAUAUGAAAAAGUUCUGAUCAAUUCUAAAUAUCCAAGCUAGCUGUUUGGAUAUUUAGCAUAGGUCUUUGAGUUGGGUUCAUGUAGAUAAUCUAUAUGGCGCCAAAAAUUUGUAGUCACACCUACAUAGUUUCCUUUAAAGUCAUCUGCUAUUGCUCACAUGCAAAUGCACUCAGCAAUUCUUUCUUUAAAACGGAAGACUUAGAUACAUUAACAUUUAUUUCUUAC
rnacentral:lncRNA from 1 species